rnacentral:rRNA from 1 species
GUGCUUAACACAUGCAAGUCGAACGGAAAGGCCCUGCUUUUGUGGGGUGCUCGAGUGGCGAACGGGUGAGUAACACGUGAGUAACCUGCCCUUGACUUUGGGAUAACUUCAGGAAACUGGGGCUAAUACCGGAUAGGAGCUCCUGCUGCAUGGUGGGGGUUGGAAAGUUUCGGCGGUUGGGGAUGGACUCGCGGCUUAUCAGCUUGUUGGUGGGGUAGUGGCUUACCAAGGCUUUGACGGGUAGCCGGCCUGAGAGGGUGACCGGCCACAUUGGGACUGAGAUACGGCCCAGACUCCUACGGGAGGCAGCAGUGGGGAAUAUUGCACAAUGGGCGGAAGCCUGAUGCAGCAACGCCGCGUGCGGGAUGACGGCCUUCGGGUUGUAAACCGCUUUCGCCUGUGACGAAGCGUGAGUGACGGUAAUGGGUAAAGAAGCACCGGCUAACUACGUGCCAGCAGCCGCGGUGAUACGUAGGGUGCGAGCGUUGUCCGGAUUUAUUGGGCGUAAAGGGCUCGUAGGUGGUUGAUCGCGUCGGAAGUGUAAUCUUGGGGCUUAACCCUGAGCGUGCUUUCGAUACGGGUUGACUUGAGGAAGGUAGGGGAGAAUGGAAUUCCUGGUGGAGCGGUGGAAUGCGCAGAUAUCAGGAGGAACACCAGUGGCGAAGGCGGUUCUCUGGGCCUUUCCUGACGCUGAGGAGCGAAAGCGUGGGGAGCGAACAGGCUUAGAUACCCUGGUAGUCCACGCUGUAAACGGUGGGUACUAGGUGUGGGGUCCAUUCCACGGGUUCCGUGCCGUAGCUAACGCUUUAAGUACCCCGCCUGGGGAGUACGGCCGCAAGGCUAAAACUCAAAGGAAUUGACGGGGCCCCGCACAAGCGGCGGAGCAUGCGGAUUAAUUCGAUGCAACGCGUAGAACCUUACCUGGGUUUGACAUGGAUCGGGAGUGCUCAGAGAUGGGUGUGCCUCUUUUGGGGUCGGUUCACAGGUGGUGCAUGGCUGUCGUCAGCUCGUGUCGUGAGAUGUUGGGUUAAGUCCCGCAACGAGCGCAACCCUUGUUCACUGUUGCCAGCACGUUAUGGUGGGGACUCAGUGGAGACCGCCGGGGUCAACUCGGAGGAAGGUGGGGAUGACGUCAAGUCAUCAUGCCCCUUAUGUCCAGGGCUUCACGCAUGCUACAAUGGCUGGUACAGAGAGUGGCGAGCCUGUGAGGGUGAGCGAAUCUCGGAAAGCCGGUCUCAGUUCGGAUUGGGGUCUGCAACUCGACCUCAUGAAGUCGGAGUCGCUAGUAAUCGCAGAUCAGCAACGCUGCGGUGAAUACGUUCCCGGGGCUUGUACACACCGCCCGUCAAGUCAUGAAAGUUGGUAACACCCGAAGCCGGUGGCCUAACCGUUGUGGGGGAGCCGUCGAAGGUGGGACUGGUGAUUAGGAAAAA